rnacentral:tRNA from 1 species
GGGCCCGUAGCCCAGCCAGGACAAGGCGCCGGCCUCCGGAGCCGGAGAACCCGGGUUCAAAUCCCGGCGGGCCCG